UUGCAUCAACAAGAAUAAGAUCAACGUUCCCCGAGCGCAGCUGCAGCAAGGCAGCUGGCUGCUAUCGAUCCUAUUAAAUGUACCUCUCCUGCUUCUCUUCCAGCUUUGCCAGGACUCAUUUUCUGACCUUAAUCCUGAUGUUUUCCCUGUUGAGGUGCCACCUGACUCAAUGGUAGACAGAAUACUUCUUACCUUAGCUAUCCACUUAGCUCAGUCUGUAACGUGCUUUGAGCUCUUCAGAUGAAACACCACAGAAGUGCAGGUGUUAUUGAAACACACAGGUGAACCCCACAGCCCAGUUCCCAAUGCAGCCCCAAAGCAGCUUUACUGAUUACAGCAGCAUGGGGCUGGAGUGAAAAGCAGAGGACGAUCAUAAUUUGAGUAUUGCCACCAAAGAUUCAGCAUCUUAAAAGCAAAGCACAAAGGAUUCUGUCUAUCAUCAGGGAAACAGCAAGCCUGAGAAGUCAGAGGAUGCUCAAUUUGUCUGCCACGGUGAAUGAUCCCUGGCUGCUAUGCAAGGAAGUGCAAAGCAGCGAUGUGCAUGAGGGAAGCAUCUGACCGAAUCCCAAGGACAGCUGGGACUGAACUAAUGUUUAUGCACUGCGGAUGCUCAAGGGAAAGGACCCAAAAGUGAAUGGGGAGCCGAGUCAUUUAGGAGGGUGGAGGCACCUUAAAGGGAAAGAGGGGAACCUGGUUGCCAAGAAACUACCUUGGGAAAAAAGCAAACACAAACAACUCCAUGGAUAAACGGAGGGUGGAGGCUGAAAGGAGGCUUCUGACUUGUGGCUAGCUUACUGUACACCCUAGGACUGGGAAGUUAACUGUUUUGUGGUUGAAUUCGGCCAAUUCAGGAUGAGGCUCACACCACAAGGUGGAUGGGGCUGACUCACGAGGCUUCCUUUCAGAACUGACCUCCUCUGUGGGACGGUCCUAAUUGAUGCGGUGCCAUCCUUUCCUCAGCACAGGUACCCCAGGUCUGAGUAUUUCCCUUUACAGGAAUAAUAGUAAAUAUUACAUAAUAGCACCGAUGUAAAAAAAAAAAAUAAAAUAAAUAAGAUAAAAUAAAAUAAUAAAACCAGCAUAAAAUAUGCUUGUAGAAUAAAACCACAAGAUAAAGGGCUUGCUCCCCAGUUAGGAUGGACAGGGCUGGUUCUCACUUCUGUGGCCACAUGAUAGGAACGAAGGAUUUGAUUCAGGUCAAAUUAAUCGCCAAAAAAGGGCUUGAUUUCUUUUUGGACCAGAAGUAUCAUUAGCUCCUUCCUUAUUCUGCUCUUCCAAAAUACUUACUGCUGAACAAGAGAGGAAAAAGGAUGAAUCACUGCAAAUAUUUGGCUGGUUUAGCAGUAGUAAAAGCCUCUCUCCUAUAGCAAUCUCUUCCUCUGUGGGCUCACUUCAGCUUAUUUUAGCUCAGGAAUGAAUGUAUCAAGCAUGUCUCUUGAAAUUCAAGAGAUAAAUACUUUAAUUUAGAAUGAAAGGGCAAAAUAAUGAAGGAGUCUUGGUCUACGUACCUAAAAAUAAACAUGACCAAGUCUUGUUUUCAGGGCAUCGAAUAGUCCACAGGUGACUUUCCUGCAAUUCUAGUAUUUGACGCUACAGCUGCAGUGUAAGAAAAACAACAGAAGCCAAAUGGACUGUGAAACAGUCCUCAUUUAUUGUCGAAAAUAGUCUAGUAUUUGUAUUAUUUUUACUGAGGGAACAUUGUUUGGCAUGGUAGCUUAAAAUAACACUGCCAUUGCUAAUGAAUUUGUUCUCUUAAUUUGUGUUUCCUGUGGAGGAUUGCUCAGGCAGAGAUUGGAGGGAUGCAGGGACUGCAUCCAUCCCCACAAAAACCAGGGCUGCAAACUUUCUUAUAACUUCUGCUAGAAAUAAAUGGAAAAGACUCCAACUCUUCACCAGCUCUAGAGAAAAGAUACUCUCUCAUCUGCAAGGAAAUCAGAAAUAACAUUUAAAUUCCUUACAUUCUAUUGACAAUUUUCAUAUAUUUUAUAUAAAUUUAAUAUUAGUAUCUUUUCCACAGGCACUGUGCCUACUGCUUUCAGACAGUUCAGUGGUUAAGUGGCCCAUAUCAAAGAAA